rnacentral:rRNA from 1 species
GAUGAACGCUGGCGGCGUGCCUAAUACAUGCAAGUCGAGCGAACAGACGAGGAGCUUGCUCCUCUGACGUUAGCGGCGGACGGGUGAGUAACACGUGGAUAACCUACCUAUAAGACUGGGAUAACUUCGGGAAACCGGAGCUAAUACCGGAUAAUAUAUUGAACCGCAUGGUUCAAUAGUGAAAGACGGUUUUGCUGUCACUUAUAGAUGAAUCGCGCCCCCUUAGCUAGUUGGUAAGGUAACGGCUUACCAAGGCAACGAUGCGUAGCCGACCUGAGAGGGUGAUCGGCCACACUGGAACUGAGACACGGUCCAGACUCCUACGGGAGGCAGCAGUAGGGAAUCUUCCGCAAUGGGCGAAAGCUUGACGGAGCAACGCCGCGUGAGUGAUGAAGGUCUUCGGAUCGUAAAACUCUGUUAUUAGGGAAGAACAAAUGUGUAAGUAACUAUGCACGUCUUGACGGUACCUAAUCAGAAAGCCACGGCUAACUACGUG